rnacentral:rRNA from 1 species
UACCAUGGUUUUAACGGGUAACGGGGAAUUAGGGUUCGAUUCCGGAGAGGGAGCCUGAGAAACGGCUACCACAUCCAAGGAAGGCAGCAGGCGCGCAAAUUACCCAAUCCCGACACGGGGAGGUAGUGACAAUAAAUAACAAUAUGGGGCUCUUACGAGUCUUGUAAUUGGAAUGAGUACAAUUUAAAUCUCUUAACGAGGAACAGUUGGAGGGCAAGUCUGGUGCCAGCAGCCGCGGUAAUUCCAGCUCCAAUAGCGUAUAUUAAAGUUGUUGCAGUUAAAAAGCUCGUAGUUGAAUUUCGGGAUUUAUCCGUCGGUCGGGCUUUUGGGUCUGUACUGGCGUGAUGGAUUCCUACCUUCUGAAUAACCGGCAUGUCAUUAAUUUGGUGCGCCGGGGAAGCAGGACUGUUACCUUGAAAAAAUUAGAGUGCUUAAAGCAGGCUUAUGCCUGAAUACAUUAGCAUGGAAUAAUGAAAUAGGACGUUCGAUCCUAUUUUGUUGGUUUCUAGGAUCAACGUAAUGAUUAAUAGGGAUAGUUGGGGGCAUUAGUAUUCAAUUGUCAGAGGUGAAAUUCUUGGAUUUAUUGAAGACUAACUACUGCGAAAGCAUUUGCCAAGGAUGUUUUCAUUAAUCAAGAACGAAAGUUAGGGGAUCGAAGAUGAUCAGAUACCGUUGUAGUCUUAACCAUAAACUAUGCCGACUAGGGAUCGGAUGAUGUUAAUUUUUUAAUGACUCAUUCGGCGCCUUACGGGAAACCAAAGUGUUU